GACGAACGCUGGCGGCGUGCCUAAUACGUGCAAGUCGAGCGAAGUGGAGAGAGCUUGCUCUCAAAACUUAGCGGCGAACGGGUGAGUAACACGUGGGCAACCUGCCUGACAGACUGGGAUAACUUGGGGAAACUCAAGCUAAUACCGGAUAGGAUCGCGAACCGCAUGGAUUGCGAUGGAAAGUCUGAACGACACUGUCAGAUGGGCCCGCGGCGCAUUAGCUAGUUGGUGGGGUAAUGGCCUACCAAGGCGACGAUGCGUAGCCGACCUGAGAGGGUGACCGGCCACACUGGGACUGAGACACGGCCCAGACUCCUACGGGAGGCAGCGGUAGGGAAUCUUCCACAAUGGGCGAAAGCCUGAUGGAGCAACGCCGCGUGAGUGAUGAAGGUUUUCGGAUCGUAAAACUCUGUUGUUAGGGAAGAACACCCGGGAGAGGAUCCCGGUUUGACGGUACCUAACGAGGAAGCCCCGGCUAACUACGUGCCAGCCGCCGCCGUAAAAC
rnacentral:rRNA from 1 species